rnacentral:rRNA from 1 species
GACGAACGCUGGCGGCGUGCUUAACACAUGCAAGUCGAACGGAAAGGCCCUGCUUUUGUGGGGUGCUCGAGUGGCGAACGGGUGAGUAACACGUGAGUAACCUGCCCUUGACUUUGGGAUAACUUCAGGAAACUGGGGCUAAUACCGGAUAGGAGCUCCUGCUGCAUGGUGGGGGUUGGAAAGUUUCGGCGGUUGGGGAUGGACUCGCGGCUUAUCAGCUUGUUGGUGGGGUAGUGGCUUACCAAGGCUUUGACGGGUAGCCGGCCUGAGAGGGUGACCGGCCACAUUGGGACUGAGAUACGGCCCAGACGCCUACGGGAGGCAGCAGUGGGGAAUAUUGCACAAUGGGCGGAAGCCUGAUGCAGCAACGCCGCGUGCGGGAUGACGGCCUUCGGGUUGUAAACCGCUUCCGCCUGUGACGAAGCGUGAGUGACGGUAAUGGGUAAAGAAGCACCGGCUAACUACGUG